ensembl:snRNA U6 U6 spliceosomal RNA
GUGUUUGCUUUGGCAACACAUAUACUAAAAUUGGAACGAUACAGAGAAGAUUAGUAUGGCCCCUGUGCAAGGAUGACACGCAAAUUUGUGAAGUGUUCCAUAUUUUU